GUGCUCAGUUUGGCAACACAUUUCCUAAAAUUAGAAUGAUACAGAAGAGAUUAGCAUGGUCUCUGAACAAUGAUGACACUCACAUUUUUAAAGUAUUUUAUAUUUAA